rnacentral:rRNA from 1 species
GUAGGUGGCAAGCGUUGUCCGGGAACUAUUGGGGCGUAAAGCGCGCGCAGGCGGUUCUUUAAGUCUGAUGUGAAAGCCCACGGGCUCAACCGUGGAGGGUCAUUGGAAACUGGAGAACUUGAGUACAGAAGAGGAAAGCGGAAUUCCACGUGUAGCGGUGAAAUGCGUAGAGAUGUGGAGGAACACCAGUGGCGAAGGCGGCUUUCUGGUCUGUAACUGACGCUGAGGCGCGAAAGCGUGGGGAGCAAACAGGAUUAGAUACCCUGGUAGUCCACGCCGUAAACGAUGAGUGCUAAGUGUUAGGGGGUUUCCGCCCCUUAGUGCUGCAGCUAACGCAUUAAGCACUCCGCCUGGGGAGUACGGCCGCAAAGGCUG